AUUGAACGCUGGCGGCAUGCCUUACACAUGCAAGUCGAACGGUAACAGGGAGCUUGCUCCGCUGACGAGUGGCGGACGGGUGAGUAAUGUAUCGGAACGUACCUUUUAGUGGGGGAUAACGUAGCGAAAGUUACGCUAAUACCGCAUAUUCUCUGAGGAGGAAAGCAGGGGACCUUCGGGCCUUGCGCUAAUAGAGCGGCUGAUAUCAGAUUAGCUAGUUGGUGAGGUAAAGGCUCACCAAGGCGACGAUCUGUAGCGGGUCUGAGAGGAUGAUCCGCCACACUGGAACUGAGACACGGUCCAGACUCCUACGGGAGGCAGCAGUGGGGAAUUUUGGACAAUGGGGGCAACCCUGAUCCAGCCAUGCCGCGUGAGUGAAGAAGGCCUUCGGGUUGUAAAGCUCUUUCGGCCGGGAAAAAAUCGCAUGGGUUAAUACCCUGUGUGGAUGAUGGUACCGGAAUAAGAAGCACCGGCUAACUACGUGCCAGCAGCCGCGGUAA
rnacentral:rRNA from 1 species